AACGAACGCUGGCGGCAUGCCUAACACAUGCAAGUCGAACGAGAUCUUCGGGUCUAGUGGCGCACGGGUGCGUAACGCGUGGGAAUCUGCCCUUUGGUUCGGAAUAACAGUUGGAAACGACUGCUAAUACCGGAUGAUGACGAAAGUCCAAAGAUUUAUCGCCAGAGGAUGAGCCCGCGUAGGAUUAGCUAGUUGGUGUGGUAAAGGCGCACCAAGGCGACGAUCCUUAGCUGGUCUGAGAGGAUGAUCAGCCACACGGGGACUGAGACACGGCCCAGACUCCUACGGGAGGCAGAAGUGGGGAAUAUUGGAAAAUGGGCAAAAGCCUGAUCCAGCAAUGCCGCGUGAGUGAUGAAGGCCUUAGGGUUGUAAAGCUUUUUUACCCGGGAUGAUAAUGACAGUACCGGGAGAAUAAGCUCCGGCUAACUCCGUGCCAGCAGCCGCCGUAA
rnacentral:rRNA from 1 species